UACGGGGGGGGCAAGCGUUGUUCGGAAUUACUGGGCGUAAAGGGCUCGUAGGCGGCCAACUAAGUCAGACGUGAAAUCCCCAGGCUCAACCUGGGAACUGCGUCUGAUACUGGAUGGCUUGAAUCCGGGAGAGGGAUGCAGAAUUCCAGGUGUAGCGGUGAAAUGCGUAGAUAUCUGGGGGAAUACCGGUGGCGAAGGCGGCAUCCUGGACCGGCAUUGACGCUGAGGAGCGAAAGCCAGGGGAGCAAACGGG
rnacentral:rRNA from 1 species